rnacentral:pre_miRNA from 1 species
UCGCCAGAAUCAGAUAGGCAGUGUGCUGUUAGCUGGCUGCUUUGGGCAGAGUCAGCAGCCACAGCCACCCUGCCAUUUGCUUCUGGGUAG